rnacentral:rRNA from 1 species
AACAGGAUUAGAUACCCUGGUAGUCCACGCCGUAAACGAUGUCGACUUGGAGGUUGUUCCCUUGAGGAGUGGCCUCCGGAGCUAACGCGUUAAGUCGACCGCCUGGGGAGUACGGCCGCAAGGUUAAAACUCAAAUGAAUUGACGGGGGCCCGCACAAGCGGUGGAGCAUGUGGUUUAAUUCGAUGCAACGCGAAGAACCUUACCUACUCUUGACAUCCACGGAAUUCGGCAGAGAUGCCUUAGUGCCUUCGGGAACCGUGAGACAGGUGCUGCAUGGCUGUCGUCAGCUCGUGUUGUGAAAUGUUGGGUUAAGUCCCGCAACGAGCGCAACCCUUAUCCUUUGUUGCCAGCGAUUCGGUCGGGAACUCAAAGGAGACUGCCGGUGAUAAACCGGAGGAAGGUGGGGAUGACGUCAAGUCAUCAUGGCCCUUACGAGUAGGGCUACACACGUGCUACAAUGGCGCAUACAAAGAGAAGCGACCUCGCGAGAGCAAGCGGACCUCAUAAAGUGCGUCGUAGUCCGGAUCGGAGUCUGCAACUCGACUCCGUGAAGUCGGAAUCGCUAGUAAUCGUGGAUCAGAAUGCCACGGUGAAUACGUUCCCGGGCCUUGUACACACCGCCCGUCACACCAUGGGAGUGGGUUGCAAAAGAAGUAGGUAGCUUAACCUUCGGGAGGACGGUUACCACGGAGUGAUUCAUGACUGGGGUGAAGUCGUAACAAGGUA